rnacentral:rRNA from 1 species
UGGGGAAUUUUGGACAAUGGGCGCAAGCCUGAUCCAGCCAUGCCGCGUGCGGGAAGAGGGCCUUCGGGUUGUAAACCGCUUUUGUCAGGGAAGAAAUCUUCUGAGUUAAUACCUCGGGAGGAUGACGGUACCUGAAGAAUAAGCACCGGCUAACUACGUGCCAGCAGCCGCGGUAAUACGUAGGGUGCAAGCGUUAAUCGGAAUUACUGGGCGUAAAGCGUGCGCAGGCGGUUUUGUAAGACAGAGGUGAAAUCCCCGGGCUCAACCUGGGAACUGCCUUUGUGACUGCAAGGCUUGAGUGCGGCAGAGGGGGAUGGAAUUCCGCGUGUAGCAGUGAAAUGCGUAGAUAUGCGGAGGAACACCGAUGGCGAAGGCAAUCCCCUGGGCCUGCACUGACGCUCAUGCACGAAAGCGUGGGGAGCAAACAGGAUUAGAUAGCCCUGGUAGUCCACGCCCUAAACGAUGUCAACUGGUUGUUGGGAAGGUUCCUUCUCAGUAACGUAGCUAACGCGUGAAGUUGACCGCCUGGGGAGUACGGCCGCAA